UGUGCAUUUCGAGGCAAGUGCUGACCCCAUAGCAACAACAUUUGAGCCUUUGUUCCUAUAGUGCAGCGCGUUAUACUAGGGGAAGGAGUACUCUGUAACGCAAGUUCACCCAUAUAUAUUGAGAGGAAUGCGUUUUGUACAGCUCAUCCUAAUUACCACUAUGGCUACCCAAGGUAAAGCUGCUACUAUUCAAGACCUGAGGAAUGUAGUAAAUACAAAUGGUCAGAAAAUAUGGACUCGUUAUCGUUCAUUUCAAGUCAUCAUUAAGGGACACGAGUACAAAUGCGUAUAUGCUGAAGUACGAAGCAUAGGGCAUGAUGAGUACGUAUAUAUGCGAAAUUACGAGAUAGGCAAAACUUGGCGCAGCUAUAGAUAUUAUGCAAAAUUGUUAGAAGGCCGAAGACAUCGGCCAGGGCCAGUAAUGCGAGUCAGCAAGCAUAGAGGAAGAUACGGAACAGACUACACCCUGUAUUUUUGGGAUGCGGAAGAGCAUUGCGCCGUAUUUUUGCUGCCAAAGGAUGCGUUGACUGAUUGCGAAAUGCACGUGUGGGGUGACCACGUUCGAGCACAAGUCCCUAGGUGCCAAAUGGCAUAUAAUAUUAUGUGUCGUAAACGACGGCCUAUUUACACCGACCAGUGCGGACAUCCUUGACUUAUUCGAAAUAUUUGGUUUGUGUUGAGGGCUCUAUGAGUUACUUGUGUGCUGAAUAAAGGUUUGGAAGAAUUGUAA